CCUAGACUUGCUGCCUGGGAUGUGGACCUGGUAGCCACAAGAGGAAGGAAUCCACUAUUGCCUGGCCUGCCUAUGCUUGGUUAUUACUAGAGAAAUCAAUUUUCUUCUGGCUUAAGCCACUGUGAUUUAAGAGUUUUGUAAAAGUUGCCAAACCUGUGUUUAACUGUUAUAGCCACCCAAGCCAGCCAUGGUGGGGAAGGAAAGAAGGCGGGAAAUGGAGAGAGAAGGAUGUAAGUGGAGGACCUGGGCAGUCUGGCUCUGCAAGCUCAGAGGUGCUUAGGAAAAACUUCCAGAAAGUCUCUGAGUUGGAUCUUGCUGCAUGAGAAAAUGUGGAGAGGGGAAGACGGGAGCAGCCACUCCAGAAGGGGUUGUAGCAGGAGCAAGGACCCUGAGAGGAGAGCCAGGCAAAGCCCUGAAGGACAAGAAGGGCUUGCAUGGGCUGCAAAAGGAGACACGCACACCAGAAGGGAGCCCAAGCAGUGCCCAGUGGAGAACUUCACCAGGGGUCAACCACUUUGGGGGUUGAACUGCUGAGUUUUACCUCUAAAUGGACAUCGAGAAAGAGGGCUGAGGCCUCUCAUGCAAGUUCUUUCACAGCCGGGUUAUGAACAUCAUCUCAGGUGCUCCCCUCAAGAACUCCCUGAGGUAGGUAUUAUUCUUGUUACCACCAUUUUCCAGAUGAGAAAACUGAUGGGGGC
rnacentral:lncRNA from 1 species